CGGUAAGUAAAAAGCUUAUGGAGUCAUAGUUCCUUACUUUUGCAAUGAAAUGCAGUUCACAAUGUCGCACAGGAAACCACAGAAUCACAUGAGACCUGCGUUUAAAGUCAUUGUCGUGCACUCACUACAGCAUAGCAUUCAAGGCAGAAAUGAAAGGCUUAUACUGUUUCGUUGUUUGGAUAUUUUCCUCCACAAUAUGGACUGGAGCAGUUUACAGAAAACCUACAUGCCAUUCAGUUCUGGACAAUUGUAUGAAAUCUGGAGAUGUUCUACAGUGUAUGGAACAGAAGAUGAAAAAUUGCUCUGCUAUAAGGCCUCGUAUUCCUACACCAAACUAUUUUGUUAAAAGCAUUGACUCCUUAGUGAAAUCACUAGAUACAGAAAAAGGAUACGUAAUCAACAUCUCAGACGAAGCGCUGCAAAGAAGCAGAGAUGGACUGGAGAAUAGUAGCAGUGAAGAUGUUAAGUUGAAAGUCUAUCUUCUGGAUGAAAGCUUGUUUAAAAUAACCAGCAGUUCAGAAAUUAAGGUACAUAUACAAGUGGGAAAAAUAAGUAUCGAAUGCGUCACAUUUUUCUCAGAAAACAUAUUGCUAAAAGGUGUUGCCAGAACAACCAAAGAAAUCCAAAUAUGCAAAGAAAACAAAUCUAAUUAGUUUACAAAUGAAGUUAUGCGUAAUAAAAUGAAAUGACACAUAUGGAAAAGUACUGAACACAUGAAGAAAGGAACAUGAAGAACUUCACAUGAAGAAAGGAACAAAGGAACCCACUGGAUGACUCUGGUCUACAAGGCUCUUCUGGGACUGGUGCCUUCAUACCUAUGUCCCCUUCUCCAUAAGUCUAAAAGCCAGUAUGCCCUACGCUCAAGUGAAUCUUAUCAUUUGACUGUUCCCCGGGUUCGAACUGAAAUAGGGAAGCGAGCCUUUAGUCAUGCCGCUCCCUCAUCGUGGAAUACUCUUCAGUCUGAACUAAAGAUAUCUGAGCUCAUCCCAAUGACAGUUUCGCUCUAUCCUUUUUACAAACAACACCAGUCCCUUUCUCAAUGUAUGUGUUUUUAAUUUAUUGAAAUGUGGUAAAGC
rnacentral:lncRNA from 1 species